rnacentral:tRNA from 1 species
GCCGCGAAAUUUAACAUUACAACACGGGGAUUGAAAAUCCCCGUGUCCCUGGUUCGAUUCCGGGUUCGGGCACCA